rnacentral:rRNA from 1 species
UACGUAGGGUGCAAGCGUUAAUCGGAAUUACUGGGCGUAAAGCGUGCGCAGGCGGUUGUGUAAGUCCGAUGUGAAAUCCCCGGACUUAACCUGGGAAUGGCAUUGGUGACUGCACGGCUAGAGUGUGUCAGAGGGGGGUAGAAUUCCACGUGUAGCAGUGAAAUGCGUAGAGAUGUGGAGGAAUACCGAUGGCGAAGGCAGCCCCCUGGGAUAACACUGACGCUCAUGCACGAAAGCGUGGGGAGCAAACAGG